rnacentral:rRNA from 1 species
CUACGGGCUGCACCAGUGAGGAAUAUUGCACAAUGGGGGGAACCCUGAUGCGGCAACGCCGCGUGGAGGAUGACGCAUUUCGGUGUGUAAACUCCUUUUAUAUGUCAAGAAAAUGACGGUAGCAUAUGAAUAAGCACCGGCUAACUCCGUGCCAGCAGCCGCGGUAAUACGGAAGGUGCAAGCGUUACUCGGAAUCACUGGGCGUAAAGGACGCGUAGGCGGGUUGGAAAGUCAGGUGUGAAAUCCUACAGCUUAACUGUAGAACUGCACUUGAAACUUCUAAUCUAGAGUAUGGGAGGGGGAGAUGGAAUUAGUGGUGUAGGGGUAAAAUCCGUAGAUAUCACUAGGAAUACCUAAAGCGAAGGCGAUCUCCUGGAACAUUACUGACGCUAAGGCGUGAAAGCGUGGGGAGCAAACAGGAUUAGAUACCCUCGUAGUC